rnacentral:lncRNA from 1 species
CGCCGCCGCCUCAGCCCACAGACCUCUCCCAGACCGCUGCAGCUCUAACCGGCUGACGAAGAGGGCCGAGCGGAAGGGCAGCCGCCGAGUCCUCUCGGCCCCUGCAGGGCCGGGCGAAGGGGCGAGGCUGAAGGGAGCGCGAGUCGCCACCGACCGGCGGCCGCCGCCGCCUCCCCGCAGAGUCGCCUAGCACCGUGCGAGGCCCGCGGCCGCGAAGGGACGCAGGGCGGUGUCGGAGGCAGCCAGGGGUGCGCUCGGGCUUCGCAAGCCUAGCGCCGUUCCUUCCUUUAGAACGCGGCGCCGAGACUGAGGCGACAGAGGAGGAAGAGGGUGGCGGGGCGAGCGCCGCAGACGCGUCUGGAACCCAGCACGCGCAGCGCUCGGGCUCCCACAGCAGCCGCCACCACCGCAACCCAACCCGCGGAGUGCGCGAGCCUCUGGCGCGGUGCGGGGCGAGUCCGGGCGCGAGCCUGCCGCUCCGCCGGCCUCGGGUGUGCGUGCGUGCGUGCGUGCGUGCUCGUCACCGCCAGCGCCUUCCUGGUUUCCCAAGCUCUCCCGGCUCCUCCCGUGCAGCGGAGAAAGGGGCCGCGUAGGUUUCGACCAGCGUCUGGAGAAGCCAGAAGGAGGCGGGACCGAGUUCCGGGAAACUCCCUAUCACAUCUCAUUGGCCUACAAAUGUCACUUCCAGAGAAAUGUGUGGAGACUGGAGAAAGGUGGAUUGUUACCACAAACUUGUGACUGUGUCAUGAGGAAGAGAGAAAAAGAAAAGACCCCUUGGCAGCCCAGCACCAGCGUUCACUCUGCUAAACAUAUCUGCUUCAUUUCCAACAUGAUGUUGUGCCCUGAAACAUGUACUCAUUCACUUAUUUGUUCUACAAACACUUUGAUCAUUGUCUACUAACACUCCUGUUUGCACUAGAGACAGCAAAGAGAAAAAAGACGUGGCCCUUGUUCUUGAGGGUACAUUAGUCUACUGGUGUGACAUGUGUGAGGAAAAAAAGCCAACUAAAUGUAAAACUAAAAUAAAGGUAAAGCCAUUUGAUAACUAUUGCA